rnacentral:snRNA from 1 species
GAGACUCUUGUCUCAAAAAGAAAAAAAAAAAAGAUUAGCAUGGCCCCUGUGCAGGGGUAACACAAAAACUGGUGAAAUGCUCCAUAUUUUG